rnacentral:rRNA from 1 species
UACAGGGGGUGCAAACGUUGCUCGGAAUCAUUGGGCGUAAAGCGCGCACGAGAGCGGUUCGUUAUGUCGGAUGUGAAAGCCCUUGGCUUAACCGAGGAAGUGCAUCCGUAAACUGGCGAGCUAGAGUACGAAAGAGGAUCGCGGAAUUCCCGGUGUAGAGGUGAAAUUCGUAGAUAUCGGGAGGAACACCGGUGGCGAAGGCGGCGAUCUGGGUCGAUACUGACGCUGAGGUGCGAAAGCGUGGGGAGCAAACAGG